rnacentral:rRNA from 1 species
UUAAAAAGCUUCAAACUGGGAUUAGAUACCCCACUAUGCUCAGCCGUAAACUCAGACAUUCAACUACAAUUAAAUGUCCGCCAGGGUACUACAAGCAUUAGCUUAAAACCCAAAAGACCUGACGGUGUCUCAAACCCCCCUAGAGGAGCCUGUUCUAGAACCGAUAAUCCCCGUUAAACCUCACCACCUCUAGCCACCCCAGCCUAUAUACCGCCGUCGUCAGCUUACCCUGUGAAGGAGAUAAAAGUAAGCAAAAUGGGCACAACCCAGAACGUCAGGUCGAGGUGUAGCGCAUGAAGUGGAAAGAAAUGGGCUACAUUUUCUACUGCAGAAUAUUACGAACAUGCACCAUGAAACAAUGCUUGAAGGAGGAUUUAGUAGUAAAAAGGAAAUAGAGUGUCCUUUUGAACCCGGCCCUGAGACGCGUACACACCGCCCGUCACCCUCUGCAGUCAA